rnacentral:rRNA from 1 species
GGAGGGGGCUAGCGUUGUUCGGAAUUAUUGGGCGUAAAGGGCGCGUAGGCGGCCUGGUCAGUCCAGCGUGAAAUCUCCACCGCUCAACGGGGAGACUGCGCUGGAUACUGCCGGGCUAGAGUGCGAGAGAGGUUGGUGGAAUUCCUGGUGUAGCGGUGGAAUGCGUAGAUAUCAGGAGGAACACCGGUGGCGAAGGCGGCCAACUGGCUCGCGACUGACGCUGAGGCGCGAAAGCGUGGGGGAGCAAACAGGAUUAGAUACCCUGGUAGUCCACGCUGUAAACCGGUGCACACUAGGUGUGGGGUCGGGUUUACCGGCUCCGUGCCGCAGCUAACGCAUUAAGUGUGCCGCCUGGGACUACGGCCGCAAGGCUG